AUCUGCCCACUGAAAUUUUUAAUGGCCGCAGUAAUUUGACUGUGCAAAGGUAGCAUAAUCAUUAGUUUUUUAAUUAAAAGCUUGUAUGAAUGAUUGGACGAGGUAAAUUCUGUCUUUAUUUAAAUAAUAUUAGAAUUUAAUUUUUAAGUUAAAAAGCUUAAAUAAUUAUAAAAGACGAGAAGACCCUAUAGAUCUUUAUAUUAUUAUUUUAUAAUUUUAAUUAGGAAUUUUUAAUUUUUUAUAUAAUAUAGUAUUUUAUUGGGGUAAUAAAAAGAUUAAAAAAAUUCUUUUUAAUUUUUUACAUUAAUUUAUGAAUUUAUGAUCCAAAAUUUUUGAUUAUAAGAUUAAGUUACCUUAGGGAUAACAGCGUAAUUUUUUUAGAGAGUUCAUAUCGAUAAAAAAGUUUGCGACCUCGAUGUUGGAUUAAAAAUUGUUUUAGGCGCAGAAGUUUAAAAAUUUGGUCUGUUCGACCAUUAAAUUUUU
rnacentral:rRNA from 1 species